rnacentral:rRNA from 1 species
AGACCCGAAACCCGGUGAUCUAGCCAUGGGCAGGUUGAAGGUUGGGUAACACUAACUGGAGGACCGAACCGACUAAUGUUGAAAAAUUAGCGGAUGACCUGUGGCUGGGGGUGAAAGGCCAAUCAAACCGGGAGAUAGCUGGUUCUCCCCGAAAGCUAUUUAGGUAGCGCCUCGUGAAUUCAUCUCCGGGGGUAGAGCACUGUUUCGGCUAGGGGGCCAUCCCGGCUUACCAACCCGAUGCAAACUGCGAAUACCGGAGAAUGUUAUCACGGGAGACACACGGCGGGUGCUAACGUCCGUCGUGAAGAGGGAAACAACCCAGACCGCCAGCUAAGGUCCCAAAGUCAUGGUUAAGUGGGAAACGAUGUGGGAAGGCCCAGACAGCCAGGAUGUUGGCUUAGAAGCAGCCAUCAUUUAAAGAAAGCGUAAUAGCUCACUGGUCGAGUCGGCCUGCGCGGAAGAUGUAACGGGGCUAAACCAUGCACCGAAGCUGCGGCAGCGAACGUAUCACCCAAGACAACUUUACGGAGUUGACGAUUGACGGAGCGAAGCGACGUCAAAGCGUUCAUUAAAGUCGAGUUGGCUUAGGGAUACGUUCGUUGGGUAGGGGAGCGUUCUGUAAGCCUGUGAAGGUGUGUCGUGAGGCAUGCUGGAGGUAUCAGAAGUGCGAAUGCUGACAUAAGUAACGAUAAAGCGGGUGAAAAGCCCGCUCGCCGGAAGACCAAGGGUUCCUGUCCAACGUUAAUCGGGGCAGGGUGAGUCGACCCCUAAGGCGAGGCCGAAAGGCGUAGUCGAUGGGAAACGGGUUAAUAUUCCCGUACUUGGUGUUACUGCGAAGGGGGGACGGAGAAGGCUAUGUUGGCCGGGCGACGGUUGUCCCGGUUUAAGCGUGUAGGUGUGUGUUCCAGGUAAAUCCGGUUCACUUUAACACUGAGGCGUGACGACGAGGCACUACGGUGCUGAAGCAACAAAUGCCCUGCUUCCAGGAAAAGCCUCUAAGCAUCAGGUAACAUCAAAUCGUACCCCAAACCGACACAGGUGGUCAGGUAGAGAAUACCAAGGCGCUUGAGAGAACUCGGGUGAAGGAACUAGGCAAAAUGGUGCCGUAACUUCGGGAGAAGGCACGCUGACACGUAGGUGAAGUGAUUUACUCAUGGAGCUGAAGUCAGUCGAAGAUACCAGCUGGCUGCAACUGUUUAUUAAAAACACAGCACUGUGCAAACACGAAAGUGGACGUAUACGGUGUGACGCCUGCCCGGUGCCGGAAGGUUAAUUGAUGGGGUCAGCGCAAGCGAAGCUCCUGAUCGAAGCCCCGGUAAACGGCGGCCGUAACUAUAACGGUCCUAAGGUAGCGAAAUUCCUUGUCGGGUAAGUUCCGACCUGCACGAAUGGCGUAAUGAUGGCCAGGCUGUCUCCACCCGAGACUCAGUGAAAUUGAACUCGCUGUGAAGAUGCAGUGUACCCGCGGCAAGACGGAAAGACCCCGUGAACCUUUACUAUAGCUUGACACUGAACAUUGAGCCUUGAUGUGUAGGAUAGGUGGGAGGCUUUGAAGUGUGGACGCCAGUCUGCAUGGAGCCGACCUUGAAAUACCACCCUUUA